AACGAACGCUGGCGGCAGGCUUAACACAUGCAAGUCGAGCGAGACCUUCGGGUCUAGCGGCGGACGGGUGAGUAACGCGUGGGAACGUGCCCUUCUCUACGGAAUAGCCCCAGGAAACUGGGAGUAAUACCGUAUACGCCCUUUGGGGGAAAGAUUUAUCGGAGAAGGAUCGGCCCGCGUUGGAUUAGGUAGUUGGUGGGGUAAUGGCCCACCAAGCCGACGAUCCAUAGCUGGUUUGAGAGGAUGAUCAGCCACACUGGGACUGAGACACGGCCCAGACUCCUACGGGAGGCAGCAGUGGGGAAUCUUAGACAAUGGGGGCAACCCUGAUCUAGCCAUGCCGCGUGAGUGAUGAAGGCCUUAGGGUUGUAAAGCUCUUUCAGCUGGGAAGAUAAUGACGGUACCAGCAGAAGAAGCCCCGGCUAACUCCGUG
rnacentral:rRNA from 1 species